rfam:Synechococcus sp. BL107 1099739244042, whole genome shotgun sequence.
UACCUUGUGAGGAAAAAAUCCUUCACAGGGUGGAAACAAGGACACACUCCUGAGAUUGAUUUCGUAA